AAACUCCAUUUAUUUAUUUAUAUAUAUCUAUUUCACUUAGGACUAUAUUUUAUGUUAGGGCUUAUUUUCGUUAACACCGGACUAUAUAGUCAAGCAGACCUUUCAUGUGUAUCACGUGAUUAGGCACCUAUUGAAAUUUCACAGGUGAGUUUGAAAUCAGUCGACACAUGGCCAUUGAAUAAAGCACACGCUUGUGCGGAGUCUAGAGUUGGUAAAAGUAGCAGUUGGGUAUUAUAAUUGUCAGUUUAGGACAUGGAUAUCCCAAGGCUUAUUAUUACAACACUCAGGGGUUUUUAGGCCCGGUUUUGGUGUGCGUACAGCACGUAGUAAAUACCGUCGACUGGUCGGUGAUAUAUGGUGUCGGAGAUACAAAGGGUAUUAUUAGUAAUAUGGUUACAACUCGAUGUUUGCUGAUAUCAAUUACAACGCCUGGAGUCGGUGAAAAUAUCUGUUAUAAAUAUACAAAGAAGUCCGUAUAAAUAUAUGUUAAACGAAUCGAGCAGUCCGUGCAGUAUUAUGCAGUUUCAAGUCGUCAUUGCUCAUUGAAGUUAUCAUUGCAGUAAAAGUAUAAAAUCUAGUGUUCUUUUCAUCAAUUUAGAAUCAACCAAAAAUGUGUGAAAAUAGUUAUUUUCUGUCCGUUUUAUAUUAAAAGAAAUUCAAGGGGAACAACCCAAAGUUAUUCUACAGUACGUGCAACGUUCAACCUUUACCGGGAAGUGUGCAGAGUGGAUGGAGGUGUGCGGACUGUAAUUGUUUAAUUUCAUUUUGUUUAUUUCAUAACAUCAUAUUUAGUUCUGUUUUGUGUGUGUUUAUUUAGUUACAUUUGCAUGUAUUCAUUUCAUUAUUUCAUUUAUGUUGAAUUUACUUUACUUUUGUUUUGUUUAUUAAAUUUAUAUUUAAAUUUAA